rnacentral:rRNA from 1 species
AGGGCGCGCGGUGGAUGCCUUGGGGCAAGGGGCCGAUGAAGGACGUGGUAAGCGACGAUAUUCCUCGGGGAGCUGCAAUCGAGCUUUGAUCCGGGGGUUUCCGAAUGGGGUAACCCGGCGUCAUGAAUAAUGACGUCGCAUUCAGGUAAAUAGAUAGCCUGUCUGCGGGCAGCUGGUGAACUGAAACAUCUAAGUAGCCAGACGAAAAGAAAGUAAUAACGAUUCCGUAAGUAGCGGCGAGCGAACGCGGAUCAGUCCAAACCUGUGUUGUGUGAUAGGCGGCAGCCGUUGCAGCAUGGGGGUUGUGGGACCAUACAUUGUGAUCUGCCGAUUACAGGUGAGUCAAAAAUCCAUAUUUUAUACGAACGCGCUGGGAGGCGUGGGCAUAGCGGGUGAGACCCCCUUAGUUUAAAAGAUAUGGACUUACUGUUAUGGCACCCAAGUACCGCGGGACACGAGGAACCCUGUGGGAAUCCGGGAGGACCAUCUUCCAAGACUAAAUACCUCUUGCCACCGAUAGCGCAUAAGUACCGUGAGGGAAAGGUGAAAAGCACCCCGGGAGGGGAGUGAAAUAGUUCCUGAAACCGCGUCGCCUACAAGCAGUCGGAGCCCAGUUUACAGCUUGCUGUAACGGGUGACGGCGUGCCUUUUGCAGAAUGAGCCUGCGAGUUAACGUAUGUUGCGAGCUUAAGUGUUUUAGACACGUAGGCGUAGCGAAAGCGAGUCUGAAUAAGGCGUAUUAGUAGCAUGUGUUAGACCCGAAACCGUGUGAUCUACCCAUGGCCAGGUUGAAGCGGGGGUAAUACCUCGUGGAGGACCGAACCGUUGUAUGUUGAAAAAUGCUCGGAUGAGCUGUGGGUAGGGGUGAAAUGCCAAUCGAACACGGAGAUAGCUGGUUCUCCUCGAAAUGCAUUUAGGUGCAGCGUGUGAUGUUCACCAACGGAGGUAGAGCACUGAAUAGUCGAUGGGCCCUCCAAGGUUACUGAGAUUAAUCAAACUCCGAAUGCCGUUGGUUCAAGUCAUGCAGUGAGACAGUGGGGGAUAAGCUUCAUUGUCAAAAGGGAAACAGCCCAGACCCACUGCUAAGGUCCCUAAGUGGCGGCUAAGUGUAAAAGGAUGUGGGACUACGUAAACAGCCAGGAUGUUGGCUUAGAAGCAGCCAUCAUUUAAAGAGUGCGUAACAGCUUACUGGCCGAAUGUAGUCCUGCGCCGAUAAUGUAAGGGGGCUCAAGCCGCCCACCGAAGCAUGGGAAGUCGUAUUUAUACGGCUUGGUAGAGGAGCGUUGAUACUGGGGUGAAGCAUGAGCGUAAGCACAUGUGGACUUGUAUCAAGUGCGGAUGCAGGCAUAAGUAGCGAGAAGAUGGGUGAGAAUCCCAUCCACCGAAAACCUAAGGUUUCCGCGGCCAGGUUCGUCCGCCGCGGGUUAGUCGGGCCUAAGCCGAGGACGAUUGUCGUAGGCGAUGGACACACGGUUCAUAUUCCGUGACAGUGCAUGAAGGUUAUACGUCUGGGGACGGAUUGGAAGAGGUUUCCUAAGUUAUUGGCUUACUGAGCGGAUCCUUCGGGUGAAGUGCAGAAGUUUCUUCCGGUUCCAAGAAAAGCCAUGACGGUACGACAUGUACUCCCGUACCGCAAUCCGACACAGGUAGGUAGGUAGAGAAUACCAAGGUGUUCGAGAUAACUCACGCUAAGGAACUAGGCAAUCUAACCCCGUAACUUCGGGAGAAGGGGUGCUGGCGCAAGCCAGCCGCAGUGAAAUGGCCCGAGCGACUGUUUACCAAAAACACAGGUCUCUGCAAAAGCGAAAGCUGACGUAUAGGGGCUGACGCCUGCCCAAUGCCAGAAUGUUAACAGGAGAGGUCAGCGCAAGCGAAGCUUUGAAUCGAAGCACUGGUGAAUGGCGGCCGUAACUAUAACGGUCCUAAGGUAGCGAAAUUCCUUGUCGGGUAAGUUCCGACCCGCACGAAUGGCGUAACGACUUGGGCGCUGUCUCAGCGUGAGACUCGGCGAAAUUGUAGUAUGCGUGAAGAUGCGCAUUACCCGCCGCAGGACGGAAAGACCCCAUGGAGCUUUACUGCACCCUGACGUUGCUGCCCGGCAUAUUCUGAAGAGCGUAGGUGGGAGACUUUUGUCGCCAAUGGAACACCACCCUGGAUAUGUUGGGUAGCUAACCCGCGCCGUUAUCCGGCAAGGAGACAGUGUCAGGCGGGCAGUUUGACUGGGGCGGUCGCCUCCCAAAAAGUAACGGAGGCGUCCAAAGCUGCCCUCAGGCUGGUCGGAAACCAGCUUUUGAGUACAAUGGCAUAAGGGCGGUUUACUGCGAGACGUACAUGUCGAGCAGUUGCGAAAGCAGGGCAUAGUGACCCUUUGGUCGCGUAUGGGUGCGCCAAAGAUCAUCGGAUAGAAGCUACCCUGGGGAUAACAGGCUUAUCUUGCCCAAGCGCUCACAGCGACGGCAAGGUUUGGCACCUCGAUGUCGGCUCGUCGCAUCCUGGGGCUGGAUUCGGUCCCAAGGGUUAGGCUGUUCGCCUAUUAAAGCGGUACGCGAGCUGGGUUCAGAACGUCGUGAGACAGUUCGGUCCCUAUCCGCGGUGGGCGUAGGAAGUUUGAAGGGAGCUGUCCCUAGUACGAGAGGACCGGGAUGGACAGACCUCUGGUGUGCCAGUUGUACCGCCAGGUGCAGACGCUGGGUAGCCAUGUCUGGUCGUGAUAAGCGCUGAAAGCAUCUAAGCGCGAAGUACACCCUGAGAUAAGACUUCCCACCAUUAU